rnacentral:rRNA from 1 species
CCUACGGGAGGCAGCAGUGGGGAAUAUUGGGCAAUGGAGGAAACUCUGACCCAGCGACGCCGCGUGCGGGAUGAAGGCCUUCGGGUUGUAAACCGCUUUCAGUAGGGAAGAAGCGAAAGUGACGGUACCUACAGAAGAAGCACCGGCUAACUAUGUGCCAGCAGCCGCGGUAAUACAUAGGGUGCAAGCGUUGUCCGGAAUUAUUGGGCGUAAAGAGCUCGUAGGUGGUUCGUCACGUCGGAUGUGAAAAUCUGGGGCUCAACCCCAGACCUGCAUUCGAUACGGGCGAUCUAGAGUGUGGUAGGGGAGACUGGAAUUCCUGGUGUAGCGGUGGAAUGCGCAGAUAUCAGGAGGAACACCAAUGGCGAAGGCAGGUCUCUGGGCCAUUACUGACACUGAGGAGCGAAAGCGUGGGGAGCGAACAGGAUUAGAUACCCUGGUAGUCCACGCCGUAAACGGUGGGCACUAGUUGUGGGAACCUUCCACGGUUUCUGCGACGCNGCUACGCAUAGUAGCCCGCCGUCGGGAGGUACGAGUCGCGAGAAGUUAAACGUACUAAAUAGUAAGUUAGUUACGGUCGUUGAGACGUUGCCGACGGCGACGACGAGGGGAGGUUAGG